rnacentral:rRNA from 1 species
UACGUAGGGUGCAAGCGUUGUCCGGAAUUAUUGGGCGUAAAGAGCUCGUAGGCGGCUUGUCGCGUCUGCUGUGAAAACCCGAGGCUCAACCUCGGGCCUGCAGUGGGUACGGGCAAGCUAGAGUGCGGUAGGGGAGAUUGGAAUUCCUGGUGUAGCGGUGGAAUGCGUAGAUAUCGGGAGGAACACCAGUGGCGAAGGCGGUUGGCUGGAGCUUUGCUGACGCUGAUGCGCGAAAGCGUGGGGAGCGAUCCGG